rnacentral:rRNA from 1 species
CAAUAGCGUAUAUUAAAGUUGUUGCGGUUAAAAAGCUCGUAGUUGGAUUUCGGCGGACAGGGGGCGGUUCGAUAUUUGUCGCUACUGCCCCAUUUGUCCGUGUUUUUGGCGGAGGUUUCAGGGUGCUCUUCACCGAGUGUCUUGGGAUGCCGUCAGGUUUACUUUGAAAAAAUUAGAGUGCUCAAAGCAGGCUUUACACGCUUGAAUAUUCGUGCAUGGAAUAAUGGAAUAGGACGUCGUUUCUAUUUUGUUGGUUUUCGGAAAUCGACGUAAUGAUUAACAGGGACAGUCGGGGGCAUUAGUAUUCAGACGACAGAGGUGAAAUUCUUGGACCGUCUGAAGACUAACUACUGCGAAAGCAUUUGCCAAGAAUGUUUUCAUUAA